AUUGAACGCUGGCGGCAUGCUUUACACAUGCAAGUCGAACGGUAACCGGCCGCAAGGUGCUGACGAGUGGCGAACGGGUGAGUAAUGCAUCGGAACGUGCCCAGUCGUGGGGGAUAACUACUCGAAAGAGUAGCUAAUACCGCAUACGAUCUAUGGAUGAAAGCGGGGGACCGUAAGGCCUCGCGCGAUUGGAGCGGCCGAUGUCAGAUUAGGUAGUUGGUGGGGUAAAGGCUCACCAAGCCAACGAUCUGUAGCUGGUCUGAGAGGACGACCAGCCACACUGGGACUGAGACACGGCCCAGACUCCUACGGGAGGCAGCAGUGGGGAAUUUUGGACAAUGGGCGCAAGCCUGAUCCAGCAAUGCCGCGUGCAGGAAGAAGGCCUUCGGGUUGUAAACUGCUUUUGUACGGAACGAAACGGCUCUGGUUAAUACCCGGGGCUAAUGACGGUACCGUAAGAAUAAGCACCGGCUAACUACGUG
rnacentral:rRNA from 1 species